AGAGCCCAAACGGAAGCAAAAGUGGGCGGAUUUUCAUCAACUAUUUUUCACAACAUUGAGGAAGUCUCUCUGGAAAUUGUGAAGUUUUCCUUCCUUAGCGCGAGGCCUGGACAAACAAACAAGUUUUCAAUAUUUAAUUGCACAACUUUUUUAAUUGUGCCUAAUUGUUGGGUAAACAAAAGUGAGCAACAGGCUGACCCAAUGUGUUUGGGCGUUGCAUUUGGCCAUGUUUUACCGCGUUGGCAGUGCGAACUGCAAAUUGGAUAAUGGACUUAAUAACAUGGAGGAUAGGGUCCCGGAUUUUGGGCUAAUGUUACAGUAUAUUUGAACCAGCUUAAAGUGUAAUCAAAAAGUUACGACCCUGACCCCAGCUCGACUGGAAAUGGAAAAUUACUCCAUGCUGCCAGGCACUCGUACACACAUCCGCACACUUGAUUGCAGCGAGAACAUGGAAAACAUUUCCAUGUGCCACUUAAAACGACUUUCAAAAUGUUUUCACUUGCCACAAUGAGCGCACACCCACUUGCACUGCGAGAAAUAUCGUAGCCCAAUGGAAUGAAAGAGGUAGAAGAACGUGGUAAGGGUUUUGAUAAAGGGUGUAAUGUUCAUGGGCCCUAUUUUACAUGGUAAAACAAAGUUGUUUCGAUUUCCUGUCCUACAGAAUCUUUUUAAACUGAAUUUCAAAAAAAAAGUUCAAUCCGUUAUAUAUCAAUUAAUUUUUGAAAUACCAAAAAACAUAUAUUUUUUUAUUUUUUAGCUCAAUAUUUUACUAUAAAUGUAAAUAUCGCCGUGGAUAAGUGGGGAGAAAAUAUAAAUAUAUUUCAAAUAGGUUUAUUAAUGAAUUAAAUAUUAA